AUAGUAUUUCCUCCGAUCCAUAUUAAUUGUCAAAAUGUUACAUGUAUCUAGACGCUCUAUAGACAUAGAUACAUCUAUAUUUAGGCAAAUUUCAGACAAUUAAUAUGAAUCGGAGGGAGUAUUUA
rnacentral:pre_miRNA from 1 species